rnacentral:rRNA from 1 species
GACGAACGCUGGCGGCGUGCUUAACACAUGCAAGUCGAACGGAAAGGCCCUGCUUUUGUGGGGUGCUCGAGUGGCGAACGGGUGAGUCACGCGUGAGUAACCUGCCCUUGACUUUGGGAUAACUUCAGGUAACUGGGGCUAAUACCGGAUAGGAGCUCUUGCUGCAUGGUGGGGGUUGGAAAGUUUCGGCGGUUGGGGAUGGACUCGCGGUCUAUCAGCUUGUUGGUGGGGUAGUGGCUUACCAAGGCUUUGACGGGUAGCCGGCCGGGGAGGGUGACCGGCCACAAUUGGACUGGGAAACGGCCCAGGCUCCUACGGGAGGCAGGAGGGGGGAAUAUUGGACAAUGGGCGCAAGCCUGAUGCAGCGACCCCGCGUGGGGGAUGACGGCCUUCGGGUUGUAAACUCCUUUCGCAAUCGACGAAGCCUUUUGGUGACGGUAGGUGGAGAAGAAGCACCGGCUAACUACGUG